UACGUAGGGGGCAAGCGUUGUCCGGAAUCAUUGGGCGUAAAGCGCGUGUAGGCGGUUUGGUAAGUCCGCUCUGAAAGUCCGGGGCUCAACCCCGGGAGGCGGGUGGAUACUGUCAGACUAGAGUGCGGAAGAGGCGAGUGGAAUUCCCGGUGUAGCGGUGAAAUGCGCAGAUAUCGGGAGGAACACCAAUUGCGAAGGCAGCUCGCUGGGACGUGACUGACGCUGAGACGCGAAAGCGUGGGGAGCAAACAGGAUUAGAUACCCUGGUAGU
rnacentral:rRNA from 1 species